rnacentral:lncRNA from 1 species
GCUUGAUCAAAUCCUCUCCAAUCCAAUCCUUAAAAUAUAUUGUAAGCGGCCCAAUUUGCCCGGGCCCAUCAGAAGCAAUAAAAAAAAUAUAAAAAUAUAAUUUUUUUUAAAUUAAAUAGUCUAAAAAUAGUCCGCUUACAGUCUUUACUAGCCCAUACAAAAUAAAACCAAAUAAAUAAUCGAAGUCCCUUUAAACGGUCCAGGACCCAAUAACAGACCAAGCCUAAGACCCAAAACAUUAAAACCUAAUCCUAGCCCAUUACACAGCCCAAUAACCUAACCCAAAACUUAGUUCAUUGACUCUUUUCAGAAAGUGGAAACCCUAGGCCACUAAGCCGCCGUUCCUAUGCACCACAAACACCAUCAGCAGUCCCAAAUAGUGAAGCUUCUAGAAGACUUCGCGUCACGCCUCACGAAUGGCCUCGCCAUGUCAGCAACACCGCGCCAUACACACCUGCGAGAAGAAAAUAAUAGAAAACAACUCACAACAGAUUGACAGCAAAUAGAUCUAAGGGAAUUUUUUUAUAUUUUUAAUGAUUAUUAUUCUUUUUAUUCGGCUAUAAAAGCCUGUGAAAUCGAAUGUAAAAGGGGGUGAGCCCAGAAAAAUUACGGAUACAAAUCUAUACAAAAAAAAAAGAGUUUGAAUAAGAAAUCAUCUCGAGAGUAGUUUUUCACAAGGUGAUUUUAUUUUCUUUUCGAUUCAUCUCCUGUUUCUUAAAGCUUUGCUACUGCGUAUGAAACCAAAUAUAAAAAAAAAGUGAGUAAAGGGAAGAGACUUAUCCUUUUUUUGAAGCUUCGAAAUCCUUGUUUGCUUCGUGGUAAUCGAAGCCUAGAUGAGGAUUGAAGUUAAAGCCGAGAAAAUUUCGCGAAUUUGCGGCCAGUUAGGACCAGAUUAAGCCCUCGUUUGACGUCGUCCGUCGAAUAUGGAGACGAAGGGACAGUUGUGAAGCUUUAGAUUCGGCUGAAUGAAUAAGGCCUUAGGUUUUGGUUUUAUUUUGAUUUGCUUUUAUUAGUUUUAGGUUUUUUUUUUACCUUGAUUUGUGCAGAACAUGAAACGGUGUCGUCUGGAGGGAGAAGAUCCGCGCGCCGACCAGUUUCAUGACCCGAAUCUGUGACUUUUUACCUCGAAUAGUCAAAUUGUGCGACUAGUCCUUUGUUUUCGCGCAGAUCUUUAAAUUAAUUCUUAUUUUCAUUUCAUUUCAUUUCAAAUUUGUCAUAGAGUUUGCGUGUCUUUGCAAUUUAGUCUGCGCUUACACGCUAUGUUUUAGGAUCUGGAAUAUUUUCACUUUUGAUCCCUGGACAUUGGCGUGUAUUGCACUUUAGCCAUUUAC